GACGAACGCUGGCGGCGUGCUUAACACAUGCAAGUCGAACGCUGAAGCACCAGCUUGCUGGUGUGGAUGAGUGGCGAACGGGUGAGUAAUACGUGAGUAACCUGCCCUUGACUCUGGGAUAAGCCCGGGAAACUGGGUCUAAUACUGGAUGCUACAUGUCACCGCAUGGUGGUGUGUGGAAAGGGUUUACUGGUCUUGGAUGGGCUCACGGCCUAUCAGCUUGUUGGUGAGGUAAUGGCUCACCAAGGCGACGACGGGUAGCCGGCCUGAGAGGGUGACCGGCCACACUGGGACUGAGACACGGCCCAGACUCCUACGGGAGGCAGCAGUGGGGAAUAUUGCACAAUGGGCGAAAGCCUGAUGCAGCGACGCCGCGUGAGGGAUGACGGCCUUCGGGUUUGUAAACCUCUUUCAGCAGGGAAGAAGCCACAAGUGACGGUACCUGCAGAAGAAGCGCCGGCUAAC
rnacentral:rRNA from 1 species